UACGAAGGGGGCGAGCGUUGUUCGGAAUUACUGGGCGUAAAGGGCGCGUAGGCGGCGGACACAGUCAGAUGUGAAAUUCCCGGGCUCAACCUGGGGGCUGCAUUUGAUACGUGUUUGCUUGAGUGGGGAAGAGGGUCGUGGAAUUCCCAGUGUAGAGGUGAAAUUCGUAGAUAUUGGGAAGAACACCGGUGGCGAAGGCGGCGACCUGGUCCUUGACUGACGCUGAGGCGCGAAAGCGUGGGGAGCAAACAGG
rnacentral:rRNA from 1 species